rnacentral:rRNA from 1 species
UGAGGAAUCUUCCACAAUGGGGGCAACCCUGAUGGAGCAACGCCGCGUGCAGGAUGAAGGCCCUCGGGUCGUAAACUGCUUUUAUUUGUGAAGAAUAUGACGGUAACAAAUGAAUAAGGGUCGGCUAACUACGUGCCAGCAGCCGCGGUCAUACGUAGGACCCAAGCGUUAUCCGGAGUGACUGGGCGUAAAGAGUUGCGUAGGCGGUUAGUUAAGCGAAUAGUGAAACCUGGUGGCUCAACCAUACAGACUAUUAUUCGAACUGGCUAACUCGAGAGUGGUAGAGGUAACUGGAAUUUCUAGUGUAGGAGUGAAAUCCGUAGAUAUUAGAAGGAACACCAAUGGCGUAGGCAGGUUACUGGACCAUUUCUGACGCUGAGGCACGAAAGCGUGGGGAGCG